rnacentral:lncRNA from 1 species
UGAAAAAGAAGCUAUAAACCCACUAUAAAAGACACCAUCUUCUCUCCAAUGAACCCUAGAGCAUAGUCCGUGUAAUCAUCAUCUUCUUCUCGUUAUUUGAAACGUAAAACACUAUUAGAAACGUAAACCACUACUAUGUCCAAGAAAAAAGUGCAAGACCAAUUAUAUUACGAAAAAUUAACGUAAUCCACUUUAAUAAUAACAUAAUCAACAACAAAGUUAUUGAAAUCCACUAAAAACAUACGUAAAUUCACUACUAACACAACUAAAAAAAAACAUAUUCACUAUUCAAAAAUCAGCUAUUUAAAACGUAAGUCACUACUAUAUCUAGGAAAAAAUGCAAGAUCAGUAAACCACCACCAACAAGGCCGACGAGGGUCACUGUAUCAAUCUGAUCAAGAAAAAAAUUAAUUUAUAAGAAUUAAUGGUCUUUUUCACAAUAUCGUUAUAAAAUAGGAACUUUCCCCACAAAGCCUAAAACCAUUGAAUAAAGAUGAUUGAAGCGAAAAAAAAAAUAUUUACCUUUUUCUACCACCCAUAUAUAUCGUUCGGCAACGGUGAAGAGAGAGAAAAUAGAGGUGGUGGCUGGGGCCGGCGACGGGCGGGGGCUGGGCGGCGACCGGCGGGGGCUGGGCGGCGCCGGGCAGCGGCUGUGGCGGCGCCGGGAGGUAGCUCGGGCGGCGGCUAGGGCUGCGCUGGGAGAUAGCUCGGGCGUCGGCUGGGGCGUUGCCGGGUGGGGGUUGGGGCAGCGCCGGUGAGGAGAGAAGAAGAGGUGAACGAAAGUAGAUCUGC